AACUGUUUUUAAUCGAAUUGCCAGUCUCAUCUAGCUGUUUUCACUGUAUGGAUGUAAUUCGUGUGGUUCUGAACACAAGAGCACUUGAGCUGUUGGAGUCGUUGCGCUGUCGGAAGCGACUAGCUACUGGAACUGCUACAGGACUUGUUCUGCUGGGAUGUGGGGAUCGUGGCCCUGAACCAGAUCCACCCUGGUUAGACAGGCUUCCAAGACCAGGGAGGGCAGACUCAAAUCCCGAUGGCUGCAAGUGAGGAGGCCACGUUGUCUGAGCGUUGUAAAUGGGAAGAUUUCUGAAAGAAUAAAAUAAUUCUUUAGGCUUCUGAAACAAAA